CCUAAAUCUGGCGAUAGUGAGAGAGGGAGGGAAGUGAGUUCCCCGCCUGUCUCUGCUUCCCUUUCUCCUUCCAGCCACCUGCUCCCCUCCAACUGGCCGGACCUCCCUGACCAAAAUGACCCGGUGGCUCCGCCCCCUGGCCUUAGCGACCCAAGCCCCGCCCCUUCUCUGACCUUAGCGACCCGGCCGGCCCCGCCCCUCGGCGUCGCUGUUUCCUUCCUUGAGGUAAACAGACUGAACCGAGCCCGGCGAGGAGGACGAGGACCCGAAGCCCCUUCGGAGCCGCAGGAGGCGGAACCUGAGGAGCCUCUCGCUCCGUGGGCCCCCGGGUCUUGGUCGCCUCUCCCAUGGCUGCCAUCGGGGGACGCAGACGGAACCUCGGUUCCGCCGCCGAGGACCUUCCCGGAGCGCCUUCCACCCCCGCGCGCUGCCAGAGCAAACUGAUCAAACAAAUAGAUUUGGAUAUUUAUGAAAGCAGACAGAGCUGUUUGCACAUUUCAUUCAGCCUGCUACUCAGAAGACUGCAACCUCACCUUUGAAAAAGAAACCAGAGUGCCCAAGAAUAAAUCGGAUGAGAAAAAGAACUUGCUCUCAGUUGGUGAAUGAAUAAUAAUUUAUAUUUCAUUCAGCCAAACUUAUUUUUGAUAGUCUUCAUUAGAAAUAUAAAUUUAUUUCAUUUAAAAAUUUUAUGCCCAGUUGGCUUGGCAGUGUAUACCUGCAAAAGUAUAAAAAUUUAGUAUUAUAUGUAAUGCCUUACUUUUCAUAGCAUAUAGUUAUGGAUUACGACCACUAUACCUAAUAUAGCAUUUAAAUGUCAUGCCAUUUCUUAGAUGAGUCAAGGCAGAGGUUACCAUCACAGAGAAGUACAAUAAUCCAAGCUUGAACUUGGUUAUGACUGGGCUGAGCUUUCAUCUUCAAAACCACAUCCGUAAACUGAAGAUACGACUUUUACUGAAGUCUAUGCUCGUGUGGGUGACAUUGUGAUGACCUAUUCCACAUCAGGUUAAAAUUGUGUCGCAUACUUCCUGUCUUUCUAUAAAGUGUCAAGGGGUAUUCCAUCCUCGGGUGAUUUUGCAAAUAACUUAUUUUCAAUUUAUAAAUUCUUAAGAAUUUUGGGCUUCUUGGGUAAUUAAAGUAUUUAAUUAAUAAUAAUUAACAAGGUUUUGAGUAGUCUCAGCUUUCUAGAAUGGCUAUAAUUCCCAGUGUGAAAAUGUGAUCAGUAAUUACAAUCCACAAGAUUGUCUAAAAUAUGAAAGUACAAACAAUAUUAAAGUCACUGGAAGCUCUCAAGGAAUGGCAUCAUCUGUCAUUUUCUAAAUAAAUGGGAUGAAAAUAAUUGUUACACGUGCCAAAUUGGAAGCUUCGGAAUUGGGGAAUAAUUGGUUUUACACAUCUGAGCCCUUAACAUACACACCUUACAAACUAUAACUUCCGAAAAAUCAGUUUGGAAGAUGAUGUAUCUGAAUCUUUAAGGUUGUAGAAUCUGGACAUGGAUAUUUAAUGUUUUUCUUCUUGGCACUGAGGAAUGAACCCAGUGCCUUCACAUAAAACUAAAUCCCGAGCUCCUCUUUUUUUUCCCCUUACUUUUUAUUUUUGAGAUAAGAUCUCACUAAAAUUGUUAAGUCACCCACACUGGGCUCCAACAUGUGAUCCCUCCUGUCUCAACUUCCUUGCCUCCAAGUUCUGGGCUUCAUCAGGUUUGUAAAUAAAAAUUUUAUUUACACACUAUAUGUUAGCAUACAAAAUUUUAAAUAUUUCAAUUUACUAGUAAUUUCUGCUGUUUAGUUUUUGUCUAAAUUCAUAUGCCUAUUAAAAAUUAUUGUAGUAUAUUGGUCAGCCACUUGACUAUUAUGUCAGAAUAGAAGCUGGUAGUAUUAAACUUGAAGCCAGAACUCUAAUUGAUUACUUUUCAUUUUGACAGUUACCAACACUGUAGAACAAACAGAGCAAGAAGAGGAUGAAGAAGUACUCAUAGAAAGCUCUAAAGGAACCAGUGUUUACUCCUGAUUUAGAGACUCUCCAUCACGUAUGUUAAACAGUUACUUGAUUACAAGAUUCCCUUCUGAAACAUCAUUUGUUAGUGUUUUGGUCUUGUCUUGGUUAUAAUUUAUAAGAGGAAUUUUUAUUAAUCUUAGAUAUUUGUUGUUGGUGAAUAAAGUUCAGAUUAUUUUGAUGGAGAUAUUAGUGUUAUACAUUGGGGUGCUAUAUAAUUGGGGUGCUAUAUUUCAGAGGG
ensembl:lincRNA